UUCCGGUUGAUCCUGCCGGACCUGACUGCUAUCGGAUUGAUACUAAGCCAUGCGAGUCUUUGCAGUAAUGCAAGGCAUACGGCUCAGUAACACGUAGUCAACUUACCCUAUGGACGAGGAUAAUCUCGGGAAACUGAGCAUAAUACUCGAUAGAUCAUAAUGCCUGGAAUGGUUUAUGGUUAAAAUGAUUCGUCGCCAUAGGAUGGGACUGCGGCCUAUCAGCUUGUUGGUGAGGUAAUGGCCCACCAAGGCGAUUACAGGUACGGGCUCUGAGAGGAGAAGCCCGGAGAUGGGUACUGAGACAAGGACCCAGGCCCUAUGGGGCGCAGCAGGCGAGAAAACUUUGCAAUGUGCGAAAGCACGACAAGGUUAAUCCGAGUGAUUUCUGCUAAAGAAAUCUUUUGCAAGUCAUAAAACCACUAGUGAAUAAGGGGUGGGCAAGUUCUGGUGUCAGCCGCCGCGGUAAAACCAGCACCUCAAGUGGUCAGGAGGAUUAUUGGGCCUAAAGCAUCCGUAGCCGGCUCUGUAAGUUCUCGGUUAAAUCCAUGUGCUCAACGCAUGGGCUGCCGAAAAUACUGCAUAGCUAGGGAGUGGGAGAGGUAGACGGUACUCGGUAGGAAGGGGUAAAAUCCUUUGAUCUAUCGAUGACCACCUGUGGCGAAGGCGGUCUACCAGAACACGUUCGACGGUGAGGGAUGAAAGCUGGGGGAGCAAACCGGAUUAGAUACCCGGGUAGUCCCAGCUGUAAACGAUGCAGACUCGAUGAUGCAUUGGCAUAUAGCCAGUGCAGUGUCGCAGGGAAGCCGUUAAGUCUGCCGCCUGGGAAGUACGUACGCAAGUAUGAAACUUAAAGGAAUUGGCGGGGGAGCACCACAAGGGGUGAAGCCUGCGGUUCAAUUGGAGUCAACGCCGGG
rnacentral:rRNA from 1 species